rnacentral:rRNA from 1 species
CCUACGGGCGGCAGCAGUAGGGAAUCUUUCACAAUGGGCGAAAGCCUGAUGGAGCAACGCCGCGUGCAGGAUGAAGGCCUUCGGGUUGUAAACUGCUUUUAUAAGCGAGAAAUAUGAUGGUAACUUAUGAAUAAGGAUCGGCUAACUACGUGCCAGCAGCCGCGGUCAUACGUAGGAUCCGAGCAUUAUCCGGAGUGACUGGGUGUAAAGAGUUGCGUAGGUGGCAUAAUAAGUAGCUAGUGAAAUCGGGUGGCUCAACCAUUCAGACUAUUAGCUAAACUGUUAAGCUCGAGACCGUUAGGGGUAACUGGAAUUUCUAGUGUAGGAGUGAAAUCCGUAGAUAUUAGAAGGAACACCAAUAGCGUAGGCAGGUUACUGGGACGGUUCUGACACUAAGGCACGAAAGCGUAGGGAGCAAACGGGAUUAGAUACCCCUGUAGUC